rnacentral:rRNA from 1 species
UGGGGAAUAUUGCACAAUGGGCGCAAGCCUGAUGCAGCCAUGCCGCGUGUAUGAAGAAGGCCUUCGGGUUGUAAAGUACUUUCAACGGGGAGGAAGGCGAUAAGGUUAAUAACCUUGUCGAUUGACGUUACCCGCAGAAGAAGCACCGGCUAACUCCGUGCCAGCAGCCGCGGUAAUACGGAGGGUGCAAGCGUUAAUCGGAAUUACUGGGCGUAAAGCGCACGCAGGCGGUCUGUCAAGUCGGAUGUGAAAUCCCCGGGCUCAACCUGGGAACUGCAUUCGAAACUGGCAGGCUAGAGUCUUGUAGAGGGGGGUAGAAUUCCAGGUGUAGCGGUGAAAUGCGUAGAGAUCUGGAGGAAUACCGGUGGCGAAGGCGGCCCCCUGGACAAAGACUGACGCUCAGGUGCGAAAGCGUGGGGAGCAAACA